AAUUGACGGGGACCCGCACAAGCGGUGGAUGAUGUGGAUUAAUUCGAUGCAACGCGAAGAACCUUACCUACCCUUGACAUGUCCGGAACUUGCCAGAGAUGGCUUGGUGCCCGAAAGGGAAUCGGAACACAGGUGCUGCAUGGCUGUCGUCAGCUCGUGUCGUGAGAUGUUGGGUUAAGUCCCGCAACGAGCGCAACCCUUAUCAUUAGUUGCUACGCAAGGGCACUCUAAUGAGACUGCCGGUGACAAACCGGAGGAAGGUGGGGAUGACGUCAAGUCCUCAUGGCCCUUAUGGGUAGGGCUUCACACGUCAUACAAUGGUCGGUACAGAGGGUUGCCAAGCCGCGAGGCGGAGCCAAUCCCACAAAGCCGAUCGUAGUCCGGAUUGUUCUCUGCAACUCGAGAGCAUGAAGUCGGAAUCGCUAGUAAUCGUGGAUCAGCAUGUCACGGUGAAUACGUUCCCGGGUCUU
rnacentral:rRNA from 1 species